rnacentral:rRNA from 1 species
GAUGAACGCUAGCUACAGGCUUAACACAUGCAAGUCGAGGGGCAGCAUGACGAUAGCUUGCUAUUGUCGAUGGCGACCGGCGCACGGGUGAGUAACGCGUAUCCAACCUUCCCAUAGCUAGGGAAUAACCUUGCGAAAGUAAGACUAAUGCCCUAUGUUGUUCUUUGCGGACAUCUAAAGAGAACGAAAGAUUUAUCGGCUAUGGAUGGGGAUGCGUCUGAUUAGGUUGUUGGCGGGGUAACGGCCCACCAAGCCUACGAUCAGUAGGGGUUCUGAGAGGAAGGUCCCCCACAUUGGAACUGAGACACGGUCCAAAACUCCUACGGGAGGCAGCAGUGAGGAAUAUUGGUCAAUGGACGGAAGUCUGAACCAGCCAAGUAGCGUGCAGGACGACGGCCCUAUGGGUUGUAAACUGCUUUUAUAUGGGGAUAAAGUUAGUCUCGUGAGACUUUUUGCAUGUACCUUAUGAAUAAGGACCGGCUAAUUCCGUGCCAGCAGCCG